AACUUUAAAAUGAGAGUUUGAUCCUGGCUCAGGACGAACGCUGGCGGCGUGCCUAAUACAUGCAAGUCGAACGAAACUUUCUUACACCGAAUGCUUGCAUUCACCGUAAGAAGUUGAGUGGCGGACGGGUGAGUAACACGUGGGUAACCUGCCUAAAAGAAGGGGAUAACACUUGGAAACAGGUGCUAAUACCGUAUAUCUCUAAGGAUCGCAUGAUCCUUAGAUGAAAGAUGGUUCUGCUAUCGCUUUUAGAUGGACCCGCGGCGUAUUAACUAGUUGGUGGGGUAACGGCCUACCAAGGUGAUGAUACGUAGCCGAACUGAGAGGUUGAUCGGCCACAUUGGGACUGAGACACGGCCCAAACUCCUACGGGAGGCAGCAGUAGGGAAUCUUCCACAAUGGACGCAAGUCUGAUGGAGCAACGCCGCGUGAGUGAAGAAGGUCUUCGGAUCGUAAAACUCUGUUGUUAGAGAAGAACACGAGUGAGAGUAACUGUUCAUUCGAUGACGGUAUCUAACCAGCAAGUCACGGCUAACUACGUGCCAGCAGCCGCGGUAAUACGUAGGUGGCAAGCGUUGUCCGGAUUUAUUGGGCGUAAAGGGAACGCAGGCGGUCUUUUAAGUCUGAUGUGAAAGCCUUCGGCUUAACCGGAGUAGUGCAUUGGAAACUGGAAGACUUGAGUGCAGAAGAGGAGAGUGGAACUCCAUGUGUAGCGGUGAAAUGCGUAGAUAUAUGGAAGAACACCAGUGGCGAAAGCGGCUCUCUGGUCUGUAACUGACGCUGAGGUUCGAAAGCGUGGGUAGCAAACAGGAUUAGAUACCCUGAUAGUCCACGCCGUAAACGAUGAAUGCUAGGUGUUGGAGGGUUUCCGCCCUUCAGUGCCGCAGCUAACGCAAUAAGCAUUCCGCCUGGGGAGUACGACCGCAAGGUUGAAACUCAAAGGAAUUGACGGGGGCCCGCACAAGCGGUGGAGCAUGUGGUUUAAUUCGAAGCAACGCGAAGAACCUUACCAGGUCUUGACAUCCUUUGACCACCUAAGAGAUUAGGCUUUCCCUUCGGGGACAAAGUGACAGGUGGUGCAUGGCUGUCGUCAGCUCGUGUCGUGAGAUGUUGGGUUAAGUCCCGCAACGAGCGCAACCCUUGUUGUCAGUUGCCAGCAUUAAGUUGGGCACUCUGGCGAGACUGCCGGUGACAAACCGGAGGAAGGUGGGGACGACGUCAAGUCAUCAUGCCCCUUAUGACCUGGGCUACACACGUGCUACAAUGGACGGUACAACGAGUCGCGAGACCGCGAGGUUUAGCUAAUCUCUUAAAGCCGUUCUCAGUUCGGAUUGUAGGCUGCAACUCGCCUACAUGAAGUCGGAAUCGCUAGUAAUCGCGAAUCAGCAUGUCGCGGUGAAUACGUUCCCGGGCCUUGUACACACCGCCCGUCACACCAUGAGAGUUUGUAACACCCAAAGCCGGUGGGGUAACCGCAAGGAGCCAGCCGUCUAAGGUGGGACAGAUGAUUGGGGUGAAGUCGUAACAAGGUAGCCGUAGGAGAACCUGCGGCUGGAUCACCUCCUU
rnacentral:rRNA from 2 species